UACGUAGGGGGGCAAGCGUUGUCCGGAUUUAUUGGGCGUAAAGAGCGUGUAGGCGGUUUGGUAGGUCCGCUGUGAAAACUCGAGGCUCAACCUCGAGACGCCGGUGGAAACCAUCAGGCUAGAGUCCGGAAGAGGAGAGUGGAAUUCCUGGUGUAGCGGUGAAAUGCGCAGAUAUCAGGAGGAACACCGGUGGCGAAGGCGGAUCUCUGGGCCUUACCUGACGCUCAGGCGCGAAAGCUAGGGGAGCGAA
rnacentral:rRNA from 1 species